rnacentral:tRNA from 1 species
GGCAGCGUGGCCGAGUGGUCUAAGGCGCUGGUUUUAGGCAGCAGUCCGAAAGGGCGUGGGUUCGAAUCCCACCGCUGUCA